rnacentral:tRNA from 1 species
UAUAUUUUAAUAUAAAAUGUAUAUAGAAUUUUGAUUUCUAAAGAGAUAGUUUAAUUCUAUCAAAUAUAA